GGUGGCAUUUAUUAUUAACUACCUUUACAUAAGGCUCCGUACCAAUACAAGUUUUAAACAAUCUAUAAAAUCUUAAUUUAUUACCAUUGACAUUAUUUUUAUCAUUCCAUACUUCAUGGUGCCAAGAUUCUUUUUUAAAAGUUUGUAUAGAAUCCCAUACAUUACUCAUAUUAAUUUCAUCUUCUACAUUUAUAAUCAAACUAUAUUUACGAGCUAACUGUAAAACUCUAUAAUCCCAUGAAGAUUUCCUUUUUAACCACCCAGGUAUGAACCUUUUUACAUAUAUUACUGGUAUUGUCACACUUAAGAUGAUUCCAUAGUUACUUUUAGUAGUGCAUCACCUGAUAAAAAAAACCAUAUCACCUCUAGCAGCUAAAUUGCUGCUUCAUUUGCCUAAGCCUAAGAAAAAUUUACAAGCAUUGUUUUGCAAACUAUUUAUACAAUUAUGUAUAUUAAUGCCCCA
rnacentral:lncRNA from 1 species